rnacentral:tRNA from 1 species
CCCAGUGUGGUGUAGUGGUUUGAGCAUUGGACUAUGACUCUGAAGACCAGGGUUUGAAUCCUUGCUCAGCCA